UUAUUGCGUGAAUGCUUAUGUUGCACACUUAAUGAAUAAGGUCCUCAAGUGUGUAGAGUUUCGCUGAGUUCGUUGUUUAUUUACAUUUUCCUCAGCAUAACUGUACAGCUGACACCGCUGCCUUCUGUAUCAUAACAAAGCCUGUCACUUCCACGUUUCGUUCUUCUUAUGUGACCGAAGUCACUGGCUACUGCACCAGAGAGGGUCUCUGCACUCAUUGCUGGUCCUAUGAUGCCAUCUAUUGGCGAAAACGUGCAACAGCAUAAUUAAACUAAAAGACAACUUCUGACAGGACAACAAAAAGACAGGGAGUGAGAAUAAGGGAAUAACAAAAAGACAAAAAUGGGGGGUCCACUACACUUGCAUACCUGAUUGUGAUGCUGUCACUCAUUUUCUAGUCUAUAUCUUGGACUGAAAAAGGAUUAUAUUAUUAUGUUUUCAGGUGUUUUGCCCCUGAGGUUGUGAAGAGGAUGCUGUGGAGGUGGCAGCAUGAACGUGUCACACAGACAUUGGCUAAACUACUCGGCUUCUACACUUGCCCUCAGAGUUCACAUAUGGUGAAGUGCACAGGUGUCCAGUCAGGUUCAGACUGAUGCUGGUAACAAGAGGAAAACAUGCUAAUUGAUGACAUUUCCAGCAUGUCCAACUCCUCAGCAUCAGGGGAGAUUCGUUGAAGGUGGUGCACCAUCCAGGACCAAUCAUGGACCACCAACACCUCUGCAAAAUCUACACUCUUGUGAACUCUGUAGAAGACACUACAACCACAAAACUGCUAAUAAACCAUCACAUACUGCAUCACA